rnacentral:rRNA from 1 species
AUUGAACGCUGGCGGCAGGCUUAACACAUGCAAGUCGAGCGGGGUGAUGGUGCUUGCACUAUCACUUAGCGGCGGACGGGUGAGUAAUGCUUAGGAAUCUGCCUAUUAGUGGGGGACAACAUCUCGAAAGGGAUGCUAAUACCGCAUACGUCCUACGGGAGAAAGCAGGGGAUCACUUGUGACCUUGCGCUAAUAGAUGAGCCUAAGUCGGAUUAGCUAGUUGGUGGGGUAAAGGCCUACCAAGGCGACGAUCUGUAGCGGGUCUGAGAGGAUGAUCCGCCACACUGGGACUGAGACACUGCCCAGUCUCCUACGGGAGGCAGCAGUGGGGAAUAUUGGACAAUGGGGGGAACCCUGAUCCAGCCAUGCCGCGUGUGUGAAGAAGGCCUUAUGGUUGUAAAGCACUUUAAGCGAGGAGGAGGCUCUUUUGGUUAAUACCCAAGAUGAGUGGACGUUACUCGCAGAAUAAGCACCGGCUAACUCUGUGCCAGCCGCCGCGGUAA